rnacentral:rRNA from 1 species
ACUCCUACGGGAGGCAGCAGUGGGAAUAUUGCACAAUGGGCGCAAGCCUGAUGCAGCGACGCCGCGUGAGGGAUGACGGCCUUCGGGUUGUAAACCUCUUUCGCCAGGGACGAAGCGCAAGUGACGGUACCUGGAGAAGAAGCACCGGCCAACUACGUGCCAGCAGCCGCGGUAAUACGUAGGGUGCGAGCGUUGUCCGGAAUUACUGGGCNUAAAGNGCUCGUAGGUGGUUUGUCGCGUUGUUCGUGAAAACUCACAGCUUAACUGUGGGCGUGCGGGCGAUACGGGCAGACUGGAGUACUGCAGGGGAGACUGGAAUUCCUGGUGUAGCGGUGGAAUGCGCAGAUAUCAGGAGGAACACCGGUGGCGAAGGCGGGUCUCUGGGCAGUAACUGACGCUGAGGAGCGAAAGCGUGGGGAGCGAACAGGAUUAGAUACCCUGGUAGGUCAGU